UUUAUUGGUUGCCAUGGACGCCCAGGUUAAAGGUCAGGUAACCUGAGCACGCUCAAAGGAACCAAGCUUUGCAACCCCAGGGGGAACCUAAAUGCUCAGACAAAGGAACAGGGACUAAAUUAAGAAGCCACGCUGCCUGGCAGAAUCCAGGAUCCAAUCAGAUUGAGCUCUGGCAUCACCCCAUGGCAGGAUCCAGUUAGAUCAUGCCUCCCGGCAUCACCUCAUUGCAAGAUCUAAUCAGAUCACACUUCAUUACCCUAUACUUAUAAGACCGAACCCAGGCCAGGCAUGAGCCAUUGCACCCAGCCAGAGCUUUUCUUUUCUCAGAAGCUAGUGCCAUGGUAUUGGCCUCAAUGCAUAUUGGGCAGUGAGCCUAUUGAUUUCUCAGUAACAAUAUGAUCCCUAGUGUUGGAGGUGGGGCCAAGUGGGAGGUGUUUGGGUCAUGAAGGCUGAUCCCUCAUGAAUGUCUUGGUGCUGUCCUCAUGGUAAUGAGUGAAUUCUUACUCUAGUAGUUCUCACAAGAUCUGAUUGUAAAAAAGAGCCUGGCACUUCCUCCUCUCUCUCUUUCCCCCUCACCAUGUGACACGCCAGCUCCCUCUUUGCCUUCUGCCAUGAGUAGAAGCUUCCUGAGGCCUCACCAGAAGCGGAUGCUGGUGCCAUGUACAGGCCUGUACAGCCUGCAGAACUGUGAGCCAAAUAAACCUCUUUGCCUUAUAAAUUAC
rnacentral:lncRNA from 1 species